rnacentral:misc_RNA from 1 species
AAGUCGUAACAAGGUUUCCGUAGGUGAACCUGCGGAAGGAUCAUUAAAGAUUCCGAGGCUCCGGCCUUGACUUUUUCAUUCAGCUGUGCGCUUUGGCUGCACGCUGGACGAUAAUCUCACACCUGUGCACCUUUUCGGUUGCGGUUUCGGCCGCUUCCGCUUUUACAUGCAACUACCGCAGUCCAGAAUGUGAUCUAAACUAUAAAGUAACAACUUUCAACAACGGAUCUCUUGGCUCUC